rnacentral:lncRNA from 1 species
CAGUCCUCAGGGAAAAGAAAUUACAUAUCAGUGGCCCAGCAUCCAGGUGACGUCGCUCUCCUGCGUGAUUUCUGCCAAGAAGUUCGUUGGUAACCUACAUCUCAGCCCAGCUCACAGAAGGCAUUGAGACAUACUGCUGGGCCUAGCACUAAGAUGAUGUGAGUCCUCUGCCUGAAUCCUGACUACAGGGAGCAUUGUGACAUAUUUCUUCACCCAUUACAAUCUCUCCUAUAGACCAAGCUCAGAACUGGGACCUGUGCGGGAUUGUUAAUUUAUUACUGGACCUUCCUGCGGGAGUGAUUAUCACAUAUGCCUAUGUUCAGCACCUGAGUGAUAUGAUUUUGCUGCCUGGUCCCAGUCUGAAGGCUCCGCAUAUUUGGGUAUUGUGACAUAUUGCUGAACUCAACACCUAAGGGAUGAGAGUCUCCUACCUGUGCCCUUCCUAUAGGGGACAUUGUGACAUGUCUCUGCAUUCCUCACCUAGGAGAUGUGACUCUCAUCUUCUGCUUGCACCCUGCC